UCAUCGAUAUAUACAUCUAGAUCCAUGAUUAAUCUUAAAAAUAAACAAUAAAAAAGUCAUAUCAUCUAUAUUCUAUAUCUCCCACUUGCAUCUGUACAUUAAAAUAUCAUCUAUAUCCAUCUAGUUAUUUUUUUCACCAUCCAUACAUCUAUCAUCUAUACAUUAUAUGUUUAUGUGUAUGUACUGCGUUUGUAUCCAUCCAUGUCUUGAUGUCUAUAUGAUCAUAUAUAAUCCAUAUUUGUACAUCUACCCAUCCUCAAAUCCUUUCCACCAUCAGACCCCACCACCACCAUUAAGCCGUCCAAGAGACCGGACCACCACCAUCAUUAUUAUUCCCUGAUUAUUUCAAUAUCAUAUAUAUAUGGGAAGAGAUAUUCGUACCACUGUUUCUGAUUGAUGUACCACAAUGUACAAAUUUUACAGCUGAUUGUACAAUCCAGUAUUACACAAGUGUGGUACAACAAUCAAAACAAAUGGUUUUGGACAGAAUAUAUACAUAUGGAAGACGGUGUGUAUGGAUAUAGGUCGGAAAAGCGGUCGGCUGCCCAAGGGAGAAAUAAGCAGCAGGUCAUCACGCCACUUCUAAUUAAUAGGCUAUUUUGUUUGUUUUUUUUUUUUCUUUUUUGUUUAGAAGAAAGAAGCAGUGUUAUAUAUAUGAUAAGUCUGAUUAUUGUUUGUAUUUGGUGAAUGUAAUUCAAGGGGAAAAAAUUAAUAAUUCUUUUUUAGGUUA